AUGAAAAGUAAUGCCUUGGAUCUCCAGCAACACAACGCUGUCUGUCCUAAGGGCUUGUGAAGCUUUCAAACCUAUGAUCUAUUAGUAACAUAAAGCCUUUUAUAAUCAUGAUGUUGACAGCGUUUAGGGGCCUCGAUCUCUCUACUUCUGAGUCUUUUCAAUAGUGUGAUUGAAAACAAAAAUGUACAUUAUUAUUCUAUUUAAAAAAAGAAAAAAGAAAAGAAAAAAGACAAGUGUUCUGUAUGGACCUGUAUUUACCCAUCAGUUUCUGAUGUUCAAACACUGUGAUUAUUAUAAAUGUUGUUGGACAACAUGAGUUUAAGAAGAAAAAAGCUAGAAAAAUACAAAGUAAAAGACAGUUGGAGGAAACAUUAUGGUGGAUUGGUAAUACUUAGGCUGAACAAAAAUACAAAGUAAAAGACAGUUGGAGGAAACAUUAUGGUGGAUUGGUAAUACUUAGGCUGAACAAAAAUACAAAGUAAAAGACAGUUAGGAAACAUUAUGGUGGAUUGGUAAUACUUAGGCUGAACAAAAAUACAAAGUAAAAGACAGCUAUUUUCCUUAUCCAGUACUUAUCGAGGUCACUUUAACCUUUCUUCUCUUUGUACUUUCUUUAUAUUAGAUAAAUGUGAAUGUUAAAUGGACUCAAUUAACGUACUUGAAUAGUAACUUGGGGUUGAGUGCCAAAUAACACCCUAUCCCCUACAUGGUGUUCAACCUUUCACCAGGAGCCGAUAAGACCUCGAUCAGGGCCCAUGGGGCUCUGGUCAAAAGUAGUGCACUAUAUAGGGGAUAUGGUGCAAUGUAGGACUCACCCUUGGUCUUUUCCGUCUCCUUUCGCCCCCCCCAGUACUCCAGUGAGAGCUCUGCUAGAGUUUCUAGUGCCUUCCAUUAUUUAUUUUGCUUUUUUUUUAACCGUUUUUGACAUGAUGGAGUAACGGAAAUGCUGUUGAUUUCUGCUACAUUGAAGUGCUUUACUGGCUCUGUGGGUACAAAAGGCAAAGGUACACUGGGAAGGGGGGACGGGGGAAGGUGGGCUGUGGGGGUUUUGUUUCUUUGUGCCAUUUAUUGUUUUAGUAUUGGGGUUAAAUACAUUUUGAUUUGGGGGGCGGAAGACAAACUUAGUCCUAGACUCUGCAGAGAGUAGGAAUGGAUCUGAUGGUGAAGCUUGGACAAACUCUGUAUUUGGAACAGAGAAAGGAACGCAGACAACAGAACAACAGAGUGAGGCUGAACCAGGGUUACCUAACAUUUAAAAUAAAAGGUCUGUUAGGAACGGAAUGUUCCGUUUGUUCUAGUGUUCGGGGGACACGUUUCAGAUACUAGAACCAUUCAUUCAGUAUGCAAGAGCUCUCUAGCUAACACUGAGCCCAUCAUUAGACCCACUACAACAAUCAGACUAUCUUUACUGAUGGCCUGUCCACGAAGCCUUGUGUGUGUCCGACACCAGGCAGCACGGUAUACAAGCCUCGUGUUGGCGGUGAAAGAGAGGGGAGGAAGUGGGAGACUGAUAGGAAUAGAGAAGAGAAAGUCAGUCAGUGACAAACGGUAUUUGUGUGAAUGUCUCAAAAGAGUUAAAACCAGAUUGUGGUGUUUUAUAGUUUACUAACCAGGCAUAAUGUGUGUCUACUGUCAGUGGGGCAGUCUUAGGCUGUGUCCCCCAAAUGAUACCCUAUUCCCUAUAUAGUGCACUACUUUUGACCAGCGUCCUAUGGACCCUGGUCAAAAGUAGUGCACUGAAUAGGGAAUAGGGCGUCAUUUUGGACGUAGUCUUUACAGUAGUAGUUGUGACUGGGCCCUAUGCCAUUUAAGGUGGGUAAAGUGAAAGUGGAGUUGAGGUAGAAGCCAGGGCUAGUGGAGGCAGAAGAGGAGAGGUCAGGGGACUCUAUCUCCAACACAUGGCAGUAGUACUGUGCUGCUGGGUUGAGGUAGAAGCCAGGGCUAGUGGAGGCAGAAGAGGAGAGGUCAGGGGACUCUCUAUCUCCAACACAUGGCAGUAGUACUGUACACUGUGCUGCUGGGUUGAGGUAGAAGCCAGGGCUAGUGGAGGCAGAAGAGGAGAGGUCAGGGGACUCUCUAUCUCCAACACAUGGCAGUAGUACUGUACACUGUGCUGCUGGGUUGAGGUAGAAGCCAGGGCUAGUGGAGGCAGAAGAGGAGAGGUCAGGGGACUCUCUAUCUCCAACACAUGGCAGUAGUACUGUACGCUGUGCUGCUGGGUUGAGGUAGAAGCCAGGGCUAGUGGAGGCAGAAGAGGAGAGGUCAGGGGACUCUCUAUCUCCAACACAUGGCAGUAGUACUGUACGCUGUGCUGCUGGGUUUGACCAACAAGUGACUUCCUCAUCACCAAUGCUGGUGGUUCAAGCCCAGUUAUUUCAUCAUCUGCUUAAUGCUGCCCCAGUCUCUUUAAUGAAACCACCUGUGGCUUUUAGUGCAGGUUUGUAGCUUGUUCUAAAGUAGCAGACAGUCUCACCACUCACAAUGCAGACAAAUAAAUAGUUGGUUCCAUCAUUAUUAGAUUUAUUCGACAUGAAUGUUUUAGUUUUUUGGUUGAUGUCCUUCUGGUCUUUUUGGAAACCUUACAAAAUGUUGUAAUGAUAGAUGAACAGUGUCCGUGUCUUUCUCGUUACCUGACAGUGUUGUAGACAGUAAAACUGGUCCAAUCUGUGGACAACAGAAUAGUUCAUUAAGCCCCAUAUCCUUUUCAAAGCAACUGUACAAAACCAUUACCUGGGGUGAAACAUGUUUAAAACUGUAGAAAAGUGAUUUUUAAUACACACUCAUCACCUUAACUACUGAUUAGCUUACAGGGACUGCUAGAUCUAUCGCCUUCUGCUUAGCGCUUCAGUCGUCUCUCCUCACUGUAAACAUGUCUGCUACGGGAAAUCACUUGAAAACAGAUGGUAGAUUCUCAAUCAUUUGUCUUUACAGAGUGACUAUGUUGUAUCCUGGAUAUUUAAAACCGUUUAAAAACAGUUGGUUUUCUUUGUAAAACGUUUUGUGGAUUGAACUUUUGUUCUUACUGGAGGCCCUCAGUACAGCAGUACGGUACUUACUGGAGGCCCUCGGUACAGCAGUACAGUACUUACUGGAGGCCCUCAGUACAGCAGUACGGUACUUACUGGAGGCCCUCAGUACAGCAGUACGGUACUUACUGGAGGCCCUCAGUACAGCAGUACAGUACUUACUGGAGGCCCUCGGUACAGCAGUACAGUACUUACUGGAGGCCCUCGGUACAGCAGUACAGUACUUACUGGAGGCCCUCAGUACAGCAGUACAGUACUUACUGGAGGCCCUCAGUACAGCAGUACAGUACUUACUGGAGGCCCUCAGUACAGCAGUACAGUACUUACUGGAGGCCCU
ensembl:lncRNA